AUUGAACGCUGGCGGCAGGCCUAACACAUGCAAGUCGAGCGGGGUUUUCGGACCUAGCGGCGGACGGGUGAGUAAUGCGUAGGAAGCUACCCGAUAGAGGGGGAUACCAGUUGGAAACGACUGUUAAUACCGCAUAAUGUCUACGGACCAAAGUGUGGGACCUUCGGGCCACAUGCUAUCGGAUGCGCCUACGUGGGAUUAGCUAGUUGGUGGGGUAAUGGCUCACCAAGGCGACGAUCCCUAGCUGGUUUGAGAGGAUGAUCAGCCACACUGGAACUGAGACACGGUCCAGACUCCUACGGGAGGCAGCAGUGGGGAAUAUUGGACAAUGGGCGCAAGCCUGAUCCAGCCAUGCCGCGUGUGUGAAGAAGGCCUUCGGGUUGUAAAGCACUUUCAGUAGGGAGGAAGGGUGUUGUGUUAAUAGCACAGCAUUUUGACGUUACCUACAGAAGAAGCACCGGCUAACUCUGUGCCAGCCGCCGCCGUAAUAC
rnacentral:rRNA from 1 species